rnacentral:rRNA from 1 species
GCCAGCCCGCUCAGAACUUAAAGGAAGUUGACGGGGCCCGCACAAGCGGUGGAGUAUGUGGUUUAAUUCGAUGCAACGCGAAGAACCUUACCUGGUCUUGACAUCCCGGAGACCCUUAGGAAACUAGGGGGUGCUUCCAUCUGGAAGAAUCUGGAGACAGGUGCUGCAUGGCUGUCGUCAGCUCGUGUCGUGAGAUGUUGGGUUAAGUCCCGCAACGAGCGCAACCCUUGCCUUUAGUUGCCAGCAGUUCGGCUGGGCACUCUAAAGGGACUGCCGGUGUUAAACCGGAGGAAGGUGGGGAUGACGUCAAGUCCUCAUGGCCUUUAUGACCAGGGCUACACACGUACUACAAUGGCCGAUACAAAGGGCAGCGACACUGCGAGGUGAAGCCAAUCCCGUAAAAUCGGUCUCAGUCCGGAUUGGAGUCUGCAACUCGACUCCAUGAAGUUGGAAUCGCUAGUAAUCGUGGAUCAGCAUGCCACGGUGAAUACGUUCCCGGGCCUU